rnacentral:rRNA from 1 species
AGUGAACGCUGGCGGUAGGCCUAACACGUGCGAGUCGAACGGCAGCACAGUAAGAGCUUGCUCUUACGGGUGGCGAGUGGCGGACGGGUGAGGAAUACAUCGGAAUCUACUUUUUCGUGGGGGAUAACGUAGGGAAACUUACGCUAAUACCGCAUACGACCUACGGGUGAAAGCAGGGGAUCUUCGGACCUUGCGCGAUUGAAUGAGCCGAUGUCGGACUAGCUAGUUGGCGGGGUAAAGGCCCACCAAGGCGACGAUCCGUAGCUGGUCUGAGAGGAUGAUCAGCCACACUGGAACUGAGACACGGUCCAGACUCCUACGGGAGGCAGCAGUGGGGAAUAUUGGACAAUGGGCGCAAGCCUGAUCCAGCCAUACCGCGUGGGUGAAGAAGGCCUUCGGGUUGUAAAGCCCUUUUGUUGGGAAAGAAAAGCAGCAGGUUAAUACCCCGCUGUUCUGACGGUACCCAAAGAAUAAGCACCGGCUAACUUCGUG